CCUACGGGCGGCAGCAGUGGGGGAUAUUGCACAAUGGGGGGAACCCUGAUGCAGCGACGCCGCGUGGGUGAAGGAGGGUUUCGGCGCGUAAAGCCCUAUCGGCAGGGAAGAAGAUGACGGUACCUGGCCAAGAAGCCCCGGCUAACUACGUGCCAACAGCCGCGGUAAUACGUAGGGGGCAAGCGUUAUCCGGAUUUACUGGGUGUAAAGGGGGCGCAGACGGCAAUGCAAGCCAGGAGUGAAAGCCCGGGGCCCAACCCCGGGACUGCUCUUGGAACUGCAUGGCUGGAGUACAGGAGGGGCAGGCGGAAUUCCUAGUGUAGCGGUGAAAUGCGUAGAUAUUAGGAGGAACACCGGUGGCGAAGGCGGCCUGCUGGACUGUGACUGACGUUGAGGCCCGAAGGCGUGGGGAGCAAACAGGAUUAGAUACCCUAGUAGUC
rnacentral:rRNA from 1 species